GCUUGGGUGGCUCAGUCGGUUGAGUGUCUGACUUCAGCUCAGGUCAUGAUCUCACAGUCCGUGGGUUCGAGCCCUGCGUCGGGCU
rnacentral:tRNA from 1 species